UGCCAGCAGCCGCGGUAAUACGGAGGGGGUUAGCGUUGUUCGGAAUUACUGGGCGUAAAGCGCACGCAGGCGGAUUAGAAAGUUAGAGGUGAAAUCCCCGGGCUCAACCUGGGAACUGCAUUCAAAACUGUAUAGCUUGAGUUUGGUAGAGGGGAGUGGAAUUCCACAUGUAGCGGUGAAAUGCGUAGAUAUGUGGAGGAACACCAGUGGCGAAGGCGACUCCCUGGCCCAAAACUGACGCUGAGGUGCGAAAGCGUGGGUAGCAAACAGGAUUAGAUA
rnacentral:rRNA from 1 species